GUGCCAGCAGCCGCGGUAAGACGGAGGGGGCUAGCGUUGUUCGGAAUGACUGGGCGUAAAGGGCGCGUAGGCGGUUUUUUAAGUGAGGCGUGAAAGCCCUGGGCUUAACCCAGGAGGUGCGUUUCAUACUGGAAGACUUGAGUACGAGAGAGGAAAGCGGAAUUCCUAGUGUAGAGGUGAAAUUCGUAGAUAUUAGGAAGAACACCAGUGGCGAAGGCGGCUUUCUGGCUCGUAACUGACGCUGAGGCGCGAAAGCGUGGGGAGCAAACAGGAUUAGAAACCCUAGUAGUCC
rnacentral:rRNA from 1 species